rnacentral:lncRNA from 1 species
ACUCGUCUUGGGCAUGUAUAUUAAUAUUGUACCUGUUACGUUGCCGCUUUGUUUCAUUAGUGUGAUCGCAGAGAUAUCUUAAUAUAUUAAUUAUUUCCAGGAAAAGAUGCGGGUUUUGAUGGGCACAACUCUCCAAAUAUGGAUGACUUUAUACACGAUUAUGGUGAUGCAGACUGUCUACUCGAUGAUCUGUAAUCGAACACCGGAGGGGUUUUCGGCAUUUAAGUCACCCGUCCAUGACAAAUUUCGGAUAGAACUCAGCGGCGGGCCAAACACUUACGCACCGGGCGAAAACUACAAAGUGACGAUUUCGGGUGCGAAGGUGCGCAUACUGUGCAAAAAUUCACCGGUUUCAUGCUGGUGGUGGAGCCGGCAAAGCCCUUCUCGAACUACGGGAGUAAUCCAGGGUCAACAGGGACGUUUCACCUCUUGGGCGAUGCCCUGACCAAGUUCAGCGAGCGGUGCCCCAACAUGGUCACCCAAACCUCCGCCGUCCCCAAACAGGAGAUCCAGGUUCUCUGGAAAGCCCCGCCAUCCGAGAGCGGCUGCGUUUGUCUUCAAGUGAGUAGCCAUUCGAUAAAGACCCGUCAUUUUCCUAAAGAAAAUUGGAUCGCAUUUGGCAAAAAGAAACCAGCACAAUAGAGAAUUUGCAGGUGUCUGAAUUUCGUGUUUGAGUGGAAACUAUACUGAGUGACUGAACACGAGGAUACCAUUGGUUCAUGAACAGUGUUCAAAACUCACAGACGCCAACGCGCCAAAUGCGCCUAAAAAAUGAAGGGCUCUGCGCCAACGUGGCCCCUAAAAGUUACCUCCUAAAAAUCUAGAUUUUUUAUAGGAAGUCACAUAAAGAAAGAAAACAAAUCUAUUUGAAUUGAAAAAACUCAGAAUUUUCAGCACUACAAGUGCAAGCUUUUUUUAUUCUUCUCGAUUUCAUUCUUAGUGCUUUUGUCUUCCCCAAAUUACAGCUACUUACUAGUUCUGUUACGAAAACAUCUUGCAUCUAACUUUUCACUAAAUGCGCCGUAAUAUAUAGGCAAAAAGUCAAUUUGGCCCCUAAAAAAUCACCAAUGGCGCCUAAAAAUUGGGCUUGAUGCGCCACAUGGCUCCUAAAACUCAAAGGUGAGUUUCGAACACUGUUCAUGAAUUGAACAAUUAUUGGAGAAGGUAUGACAAAAUGAUCUAAUCUGCUGAAAUAUACGAGUGUUUAAAUGGGAAAUUCCGCCAGAUGACGUCACCAGGCGGUGCAUUUUCUCACAUUUCAAUCUAUUUUAAUACUAUUUCCCAUAUCAAAAAAAAAUCAUAAACAAUACUGUAAAAUCAGUUCUUUAAGUACUUUCGGAUGAAGCAAUAAAAAAUUUGCAUGCAAUUCUCCAUUACAGUGUUUUCAAAAUCGUGCAACCUCUCCUUUUUUUUUGAAAAUACUUGAAAUAUGUACAGUCUUAAAAUUUACACGAUUAUUUCCCUAUAAAUUGGCAAUUUUUUUAUGGGAAGCUAAAACUAUUUGCUACUCUGGGAGAUUUUUAGAUA